CCAGCCUGUUUGUUUGUGUGUUCCGCAUUCACGAGCCACCACGUCCAGAGCAGAAACGAAGGGAAAACGGACACAAAAUGCGCUACAGUGAAAAAGCUGCAAACAUGACUUCUACACCAAAAUCCGAAGUAAAAACUCACCAGACAUGAUGGAAAAGAUGUAGAGAGGCUCUCUGGAGAAGACCUGUGGGACUCCACAACGUCCUUUUCUGUCUCAGCAAUAUGGCCAAGAACGAAAUUUGUGCAAAAGUCUUCAAAAAUCUCAACACAAAUGUCUUACAGUAGAGUCAGAGCAUACAACAAUAUUGUAAUAUAGCUGUGGACAUAUUAGUUUGAGAUUUUCUCCCUCCAUGCCUACUAUUUAAAACCCCUAGAACUCAAUGAUUUGACAAUGAUUUGAUUGCGCGUUACUUUCAAUUUGAAUAUUCAGAGGCAACCGAAUUUUAUCGAUUUUUCGGCAAAAAUCACUACGCAUGGACAUUGUAUAAGCACUACUUUAAUAUAAUAUACUACAAUUUCACACUUUGACCGAAAAGAAAGCAUACUUUUAUUAAUUUUAUCCUCCUUUUGCAAUAUCAGAGCAUCACACCCCCUCAUUAGGCACUACAUCACUGGGUGCAUUUGCGCACCUCCAACACCGCAAUCCAACUUAUAUUCGCGAUCACAAGUUUGCAGGGAUCACGCUGCAUGCUGAGAAUAUUCUCAAACUUAUUUUUAUAGUUUAUUUCAGAGAAAAAUGCAUUAAAGUGGGGAAAAAGUGGGCGUGGCAAAGGCCAGUAGCCAUCUUUGGCACUACAGGCCCCAGAAGCUCCACUGCAGCAAGUGCUCUGUGCGCGCUCACCUGCUGGGGGCUGCAGAGUGGGUCUGUGGCUGCGGCAUGUCCAUCUAUCUCUUUAAAACACUUUUUAUCAGUGUGCAGAAAAAACAAGUUCAAUUAUAUCAACACCAAUAAUGACUUUUCCACACUUUGUCAGCAUUGUGUGUUGAUUUGAUGUUAACAAAGCGCGCCUCGGCACUGCGGCACCAGAUCACUGCCAUCAAACUGUAAACUACACUUUCAUUAAAACCACAAUUUAUUUACAUUGUUAUUAAUUUAUGAACACUUAUAAUAAUUGUUUCAUACGCGGCAGACCACAAAUACGACAUAUAAACAUCGGCAUUUAUUAAAUAUGCCAACAAAGAUUGUCUAACUUACUUUUACAUUUAAAGUAGCACUUGAUAAGUGACCAAAUGUUCAGAAACUAUAUUUAUAAUUAUAUAUACUUAUAGUUAAAUCAUAUUCAAGUCCCAGAAGCUGUUUCAAAACAGACUUUCUCCUCCCUUUGCCUGCAGCUCUCGGCUCCUCCGCUCCCCCUGCAGCGGCGGUGCAGCGGCGCCACCUAGUGUUCAAAAACCGCAACAUCCUUUCCCCUCAGCGAACACAAACCCACGGGUAAAUACAAUAUCAACUGCUGACUUCAACGAACAUGAAAUCCCUUGCACUUGCAAUUAGAAAAUGUGUAUUUUAUAGAUUUGCACUCCAAAAAAACUGGUUUUUAACAUUUAUAGUUUUUUUUAAAAAACAAAACAAUUUAACUCCCCCCCAAGGAUUGUAUUUAAACCUGCAUUUAUUCAGUUUUAUAUACAUUCAAAUCUCGUUUACACAUUUGGACACACUGCAAGUAUGCACUUCAAGUUGUUUUAUUGUACAUUAACUGUUCUUAAAUGUUUUUGAGGCUGCUGUUUGAGCCUUUGAAUUCCUUUUUUUUUUUUUUACUGAAUUUAAUUGGAAAGGGCUUAAAAUAACACGAGGUGUAAUGUGCUCUUGACUUGAUUCCCAAUAGUUUGUCAUCUUUUAAAAGUGGGUCUCUAUAUUAAAGGUAUGGGAAACACUGAGAUGGUUCGUUCUAUAGUUUGACCCAAAACUCAAAAUACGUUAUUCACAUAAAUGAUACCUUCUUUCCUUGAAGGCAAUCCUGAAUACAAUUGGGAAGUUUUUCUUCUGAACUCAAAACAUACAAUGUCUAAAAAACAAAGGGGCUGUAGGACAAUUAGGGUUUAAUAAGGUCAGUUUCUUGAUUGGAAAAAAAUAUAUAUUUAUGAACAGAAUAUUAACAGUAAACAGUAGUAUUCACAGUGAAAUUACACAUCAGUUUUUUAUAUUUGUGAAGCCGUAACAAAUGAAUGAAUGUUUGAUAAAAUGACAAAAGUGAAUAAUAUGUAACUUCACAUUAUUAUUUGUAUUAAAAAUGUACGUGAUUGAUUUGUACACAUGUCUAAUAAAUGUAUUGGAACAGAUACAUUAUUUGGUUAACGUUUUGUGUCAUUUCAUGCAGUUUUUUAUAAAACCAAUCUUUCAUUGAAAGUCUUUCUUAUUAUCUGUUGUGUAUUCUCAGGAUAUUAAAAGUCAUGUAAAAGUAUGUCCAGAGAUUAUUGGAGCAAACACAGCCAAGAAAACAAAAGCAAUUCAAUUAUUAUUACUAUUAUUAUUAUUAUAAAAAUAAUAACACAACAUGAUUCCAGUAUUGCCCUGUGGGUGGCGCUGUAAUGCGCCCCAGAGAAGAACAAACCAUUACUCCAUUAAGUAUAAUAUUCCUUCUGUCACCCAGCUUCUAAACACAGAUAGUAUGUCAUUGUUUUUAAAUGAAACAAUUUUUUUUUUUAAAAUGAAAAUGAAAAAAAACAACGUUAUAUUUAUCACUGCUUACAAUUUUAUGAAUUUAAAAAAAGCAUCUGAAUUUAAAAUGAUUCAGUUUCAAAGUGAAAUUCACCAGAAAUGUGAUUCAUCAAACACACAGUCAGCCACCGUCACUUGAGAAGACUUCCAGUGGCUCAUGACACUUUAUUAUCUUUAAAAAGUCGGUCCUCGUGUGAAGGUUUGAGAGACACUGAUUUAAAGCACGUUUACAUUGUUUAUUACAUUUACAACAUACAAGUACAAAAACAGAACAUUUAAGUGACGG